UAGUAGUGCUAGGGGUGCCUUAUGGCUGAGAGAAGUUUAUAACUUUAACCCUUCGAACCUGAUGCGGGUAAAACCGACGUAGGAAAGCUGUUUAGAUAUUAG
rnacentral:ncRNA from 2 species